rnacentral:rRNA from 1 species
UACGUAGGGGGCGAGCGUUGUCCGGAUUUAUUGGGCGUAAAGAGCUCGUAGGCGGCUCAGUAAGUCGGAUGUGAAAACUCCAGGCUCAACUUGGAGACGCCAUUCGAUACUGCGAUGACUUGAGUCCGGUAGGGGAGUGUGGAAUUCCUGGUGUAGCGGUGAAAUGCGCAGAUAUCAGGAGGAACACCAGUGGCGAAGGCGACACGCUGGGCCGUACCUGACACUGAUGCGCGACAGCAUGGGGAGCAAACAGG